UACGUAGGGUCCGAGCGUUGUCCGGAAUUACUGGGCGUAAAGAGCUCGUAGGUGGUUUGUCGCGUUGUUCGUGAAAACUCACAGCUUAACUGUGGGCGUGCGGGCGAUACGGGCAGACUUGAGUACUGCAGGGGAGACUGGAAUUCCUGGUGUAGCGGUGGAAUGCGCAGAUAUCAGGAGGAACACCGGUGGCGAAGGCGGGUCUCUGGGCAGUAACUGACGCUGAGGAGCGAAAGCGUGGGGGAGCGAACAGG
rnacentral:rRNA from 1 species